rnacentral:rRNA from 1 species
GGAUCAGUACGCUGGUCAUGCCUUUGGUAUGUACUGGUGUUACUGGUUCCUACCUUCUGACGAACCGUCAUGUCAUUAAUUUGGUGUGGCGGGAAAUCAGGACUGUUACUUUGAAAAAAUUAGAGUGUUUAAAGCAGGCUCGCGCUUGAAUACAUUAGCAUGGAAUAAUGAAAUAGGACGUUCGAUCCUAUUUUGUUGGUUUCUAGGAUUGACGUAAUGAUUAAUAGGGAUAGUUGGGGGCAUUAGUAUUCAAUUGUCAGAGGUGAAAUUCUUGGAUUUAUUGAAGACUAACUACUGCGAAAGCAUUUGCCAAGGAUGUUUUCAUUAAUCAAGAACGAAAGUUAGGGGAUCGAAGACGAUCAGAUACCGUCGUAGUCUUAACCAUAAACUAUGCCGACUAGGGAUCGGAUGAUGCUAAUUUUUUAAUGACUCAUUCGGCGCCUUACGGGAAACCAAAGUGUUUGGGUUCCGGGGGGAGUAUGGUCGCAAGGCUGAAACUUAAAGGAAUUGACGGAAGGGCACCACCAGGGGUGGAGCCUGCGGCUUAAUUUGACUCAACACGGGGAAACUCACCAGGUCCAGACAUAGUUAGGAUUGACAGAUUGAGAGC